rnacentral:rRNA from 1 species
CCUGAGAAACCCAAAAGAUCGAAUGGGGAGAUUCAUCGUCAGCGAUGCUGGCACGUGUGCGGUUCGCGAUGCCGGGGACUUCGGUCUCGUGGCACGCGUCCGUAUGUUUUUUAUUGCCUGGUAUCGUCGGCGUGCACUUCUCCCCUAGUAGGACGUCGCGACCCGUUGGGUGUCGGUCUACGGGCCGGGUGGGCGCCUGUCUCGUGUGCGCUUCACGGCGUCACUGCGAGGCAGACCCCCGGCAUACCGACCGGCUGCCCGGCGGUACUCGCAAGGUAUCUGGCCGCAAAUAUUCGAACUGCGUCCGGCCCGUCGCAAGCGAGGCAAGUGUUUCCCGAAUGUACGGAUCUAAUGCCGUCAUCGGUCCUUGCCAGCUGUUGGUUGACGGUGCCCUAGGACUGGCUAUAAAAAUUAUGAUACCGGUCAGCGACGCUACUGCUUUGGGUACUUUCAGGA